rnacentral:rRNA from 1 species
GUGGGGAAUAUUGGACAAUGGGGGCAACCCUGAUCCAGCAAUGCCGCGUGUGUGAAGAAGGUCUUCGGAUCGUAAAGCACUUUCGACGGGGACGAUGAUGACGGUACCCGUAGAAGAAGCCCCGGCUAACUUCGUGCCAGCAGCCGCGGUAAUCCGAAGGGGGCUAGCGUUGCUCGGAAUUACUGGGCGUAAAGGGCGCGUAGGCGGCUCUGUUAGUCAGGCGUGAACUUCCUGGGCUUAACCUGGGGACUGCGCUUGAUACUGCGGAGCUUGAGGCCGAGAGAGGGUGGUGGAAUUACCAGUGUAGAGGUGAAAUUCGUAGAUAGUGGGAAGAACACCGGUGGCGAAGGCGACCACCUGGCUCGGUACUGACGCUGAGGCGCGACAGCGUGGGGAGCAAACAGGAUUAGAAACCCUAGUAGUCC